GGGGGGCGGGGAUCCUGGGCUGUGUCCCAGGUGCCCUGUGCUCCCGGGCCUGUGCUGUUGGAUUCCAGCUCCCAUCUGCACAGCCCCCU
rnacentral:pre_miRNA from 1 species